rnacentral:lncRNA from 1 species
GGCGGUGGUGGCACACGCCUUUAAUCCCAGCAUUUGGGAGGCAGAGGCAGGUGGAUUUCUGAGUUCGAGGCCAGCCUGGUCUACAAAGUGAGUUCCAGGACAGUCAGGGCUACACAGAGAAACCCAGUCUCAAACAAACAAAAGUUCCAGAAUAGCAGAUCGUCCUGACACAGCCCCAGGGACACUGAGAAGCUAGGGAAAUGUGGGUUUGAAGACCACAGGAAAACCCCAAACUACCUGUCAUCCAUAGGAGGCAACUAGUUGUCACAGGAAAAAGUCAGAAGAGGGCCUAUGUCCUUUUGAGCCUCACAAGGAGGAGGAAUUUCUGAGUGAAACAAGGAAACUCGGGAGCCGUGGGAGACAGAAGCAUUCCCUGGGAAGACUGUGGGGAGGGUGUGGAAGAGGAAGGAGGCCAACGGUACCUCCGGGUCCGCAGCUGCUGC